rnacentral:lncRNA from 1 species
GGUGAAUGUACCUGUGUAUUUAUUGCAGAGGGGAGAGGUUUCUGGGCAUGAAAGGGAAUGUGAGAAAAGUUACUGUUUGGAAAGUUACCUAAUCAUUGUUUUCCAAUUAAAUCACAGCAUAAGCAUCUGUGUGUGCAGCUUGCAUUGAAAGCAAAGGGAAUACAUCUUCUUCCAUGAGCAAAGAGUAAAGUGUCGUGCUCUCCACCUCCAAGUGAUGUCGGCUCCCCCUA